GCCUGGGUGGCUCAGUCGGUUAAGCAGCCGACUUCGGCUCAGGUCAUGAUCUCAUGGUCCGUGAGUUCGAGCCCCACUUCGGGCU
rfam:Felis catus isolate Cinnamon breed Abyssinian chromosome B1, whole genome shotgun sequence.